CCGACUCUCUACCUCCUCUUGACAACUUAUGUUUCCACACCUCGAGUUGACAGCAGCAAAUUUAGCUGCCAUGUAUUUGGUUGCCUCAUUGUUGCUGUAAUAUUGGAACUAACUCCUCAAGACUAUCUCAAGAAUGAAGUCCAUCAGAAGGAGAAAGUAUACACCCAUGGACAAUAAAGAACUGGAACAAUCUUCCACAAACUUUAAUCUCCAUAUACCCUAAUUCAAGGAAAAUCGGUGUUUUACAGUGUUUAUUGUACACCUCCUGUGAAAAUUUCCGAGCGGAAGACUACAACAGAAAAACGUACCAAUUAGAAGUAUCACAGUCAGGCAAAAUCAACGCAGAAAGAAACAGGAUCAGUAUUUCAGGUUGUGGCUUUUAUCUGAUCUAGUCUACAUGAUAUGCUGUCAUAAGUUAAACUCGUCAGCCUUGUUGUUUUGC